AGAAACACUCAGCAACACAUCACAGACGCUGAAAAACAAAGAUGCUUCAUAACUCCGAGGACUCUAUUGUCUGUCGUGGUGGGGAAUUGUUUCUCUUGCCCUGGGAUUAGCAUAGGAUUCGAUGUGUUUGUUUGACUAAUGGUCAGUGUUUUGUGGCUGUAAAAUCAGCAGCCCAAGAGUCUUGGAAAGUCAAAACAUUAGCGUUUGAAAUGCCACCAACCUCCCUGGUGGAUGUCGCUAAUGAAGGCGUGGUGCCACGUCCCUGCUAGAGCAGAGGUUCUCCUUUACAUACAAACACAUUUAGCACGUUCCUUGUUCUUCACCCACAAUGACCUUCUCUUUAGUCUGCUCGGCUGCAGCUAACCUGUGUGCUCCAUUAAUGACUGAUGGCAAAAGCUUGUUAGCACUGAAGACACUUUUCUGCUGGGAAAUGUUUGAGACCGACAAAGAGAAUCUAUAAUCAAAGGACAAUGAAAGGCGCUGGAGAAAAAUGUCUCUACUCCCUGGGGUAGUUUGGCCCUCCGGUAAGUUUACAAACUUUCCACACCGAAGACCCGAGGACUCUCCAGAAGUGUCUGUGUUACUGGUCACAGAAACUUUCAACUCUUUCUAAAUAAAAUAUGAAUUCAAUGUGUUGCUUUAGAAAGAGCUGCGUAUUGAUGGAAUCAUAUCUUACGGCCAAAAAAAAAAAAAAGUAAUUUUCCUCAGCCAGAAUCUCGUUGCCUCGGAGAAAGCCCGGCUUGUGUUACCUGGCAUUUUCUUGCAACACAUUCUUAUCCCACAUCCUCUUAAACUGAAAGCAGGGAAAUUGGAGCUGAUUGAAGGGAUUCGGUUUUGGUGAUGGAAGGACAGAAGCGGCGUGAGAGUACGAAGAGAAAGCUGUGAACCCAAUCUGCCGUGUGUUGACUGUACUGAUUAGGGGCUUGUGCUAAGAAGAGCCUCUCUAUCCCCUCAUUCCUUCUGUUUACUUUGAACCUCACAACUCCUUUCAACACAAGCACCCUUCUCAUGUCACCCUCAGCUGGAUCACCUGCAUCACAGGAGGCACAUGUCUUUGUAUGCCAUUCAGACCAAUUAAGAAGAUGACAGCUUAACUUGGGCUAGAAUGAGCAAAGUUAGCGUUUUCAUUGCACAGGGGCCAUAAGCCAUGUUUAGUAAUAUAAGGAGAAUAGUAAAUCGUAGCGAAACCUCCAGCAUUCUUUAUAAGCGGGUGUUCCACAUUGGAUAAAGCCAGCUGGAAAGCCAGCCGAUUACGGCUACUGGAACAAUGCUCAGCUAAUGUUUUGCAACAUUUCGAAAAUCUUCGGGGAGCAAUAAUUGGAGCUUUGGCCUUAUACAAGCAAACUCGAGACACAAGGAAUUAUGCACAGAUAAAUAAGGGGUGGAAUAGAAAAAGAGAAGCUAGGAAAGCAGCACAUCUAUUUUCACGCAGCAUGUUUGCUUAUUUAUGAUAUCUAAAGGCUGGUCUGGUCUGGAUUCGUGGCGGAAGCUGGGGAAAUAACACAGCCAGCCUAUUGCCCUCAGCGUCCGACUCCCCAGCUUUCAUUAAGUGUCAUUACCAGUACUUUCCAAAAAGCUGGCCAGCCUGAGACCUUACAUCCCCUCUGCAGAUAGUUGUCCAUGCAUAUGGAUGUAUUUCUGAUCCCUCUUAUCCACCACUGAGGAGGGGGAAUUAAGGCAGCGAAAGGCAGAGGACAGAGCUUAAAGGCGGCAUCCAUAUCUGACUGUUAUGGCCAAGAUGAAGCUAUUAAUUCAUCUCAUUGUCAGUUUUCAUGCUGCGCUUGUCGUUUUCAGAAUGUCACUCACGUUAUCGGCACAGAUUUUUAUUUUAUUUACUCUCAUUUGCAUGACCAUGUGGGUUAUUUACACCCAUUUCUGACUGAGCAAACGCAUUUAAUGUUCUUGCGAGGAAUUGUAUUUUCGUUGCAGCCAGUGUAAAAUAUCUGUGCUAUUUUAAAUUGUGAAUGUCGAGCAGCACGGUAUUCAUUAGCAAUUUGCUAUUGUUGCUCUGUGGCUUUGAGGCUGUCUCUUGAUUGAUGGCGGAGCUUGUUGUGUUUAUUUGUAUAUCGGGCUCUGAAAAAUUCAUAUUGUAUGCUUUUUCGAGCAGAAGUUAUCGAGAUUCGGUGUAAAUGGUACUUGGGAUUAGAUUUUCACAGCAGAUUGCGGUUAUUAAGGGGAAAAAAAAGCCUACCCCUUUGAGCAGUCAUCUUCCUGGGAGGCAAUCCAUUUCUCUUUCACGCAGCCCCGAGUGCCGGACCAGGCUCUUAAUGCACUGAAGCAAAAGUGCUUCGGUCCGCAACCUUUCACGCCUUCAGCUCUCCUUUAUGUGAUUGAAUAGUUAAUAACUAUAAGUCGCCUUUGAAAGCUUUGUGCCUCCAUCCUUCUGAGGCACUGCUUGUCUUUUUGUUUGCUUGGUUGUUAUACCUGCCCGCUGAUCUGUCUGUCUGCAUGUCUGCUUGCCCCCGAUGGCAAGUCGACUGUUAGCCCACCUCCUCUGCACCAGCCCCUCGGACUUUUAUCUUUGCGUCCCGCCUGACUUGCAGCCUGUGUGUCUGGCUGUCUUGGUUUGUACAUCCGAAUAUUGAGGUGUUUUUUUUUUUUUUUUUUUUUUUUUUUUUUUUUGUUAUCUUGUGCUUCCUGUUUAUCUUCCUGUACAUUUACACAAGCCGACAGACUCCCUCCUCACACAGCUUAUUAGCUCAUCCCACGCUCGCAGCUCUGGCAGAAUGUGACCCUGCCUAAUUGUGUACCAUGCUCAUUUGUUCUCCCUGCAUGAUGUGACUAUUGCUUAUGUAUUCUCCCCAGGGCUUCCAUCCCACAUUAAAAUGAUUGACUCAUUUCAUUCACUGCACAUUUUCAAGCUUUAUUUGAUAAGCUCAUUUCUCUUGGCAUUCAAAUCCUUCCUCUCGCGAUGCUUAAAAGUUCUAAUGUCGCCGAGGCAUAUUGCAGUUCACAGUCGGGUUUGUUUCUUCAGCUAAUUAUCUGAGUUGUGGAAUAAUUUUGCACGUGUGAUGUUUCCUUUCCGGUGGAACUGAGCCACAUACAAAAGGCUAGACAUUAACAAUGCAGUCAGAAUGGUUGAGGAGCCAAUUGUGUACAGCAAGCUGGCAGACGCGGUCAACAAGAAGCUUAAGUGGGAUUGGGACGCUGUUGAAGCUUAGCCAGAAUAAGCAGAGCAAAUUUGCAUUCUGUUAAAAUUUCUGUCUCCUUACACAGACCUGUUUUCCAAAUGAAAACGGCAUCAGCCGAUCAUGUAAUAAGGGAAUGUUUUGAUGAAAAAAUGGAGCCUAACAACCUUCUGCUGUCAAGGGACUUUGGUAUUUGACUACAAGAGGAAUGUUGAUUACAAGAGGGGAGAGGCAGCAGAUGAAUCAAAAUAUCAUAGCCUUUUGGUUUUUCAUCUGCUAUUAUGGCUGCAGAGUUGGAAAGACUUUCUUCUGAAGAUCUUAUCCCUGAGGGGACCCUGCCCUUUGCAGACAUUUCUAACAUUUUGGAAAUUACUGCGAUUGAGGAGAUUCUACUUUUAGUAUUGUAAUGACCUUCAAUCAUCAGUGAAAAGAACUAAAACAUGUUCAAGCGCUGUAAUAUGAAGAUGCAUAAAAUGAACAGUGAAUAAAGGCUGUGAGAUCACAACCGUUGCUAAUUGUUCUGUGUAAGCACUAUGUUGUACUAUUAUCUGUUAUAUAUUGAUCUUUAUUGUGAUUAUUGCAUAUCUGUAAGUUGACAUCUACAAAAGAAGAUACGCUUAAGUAGCACCCGGCAACUACUCCUAAAGUAAAAUGCCCACAAGUCAAAACAGCCAAAAAUCUUAAUGAGUCUGGCCAGAUAGAAAAGGAAUUUCUGCAAAAAUAAAAUAAUAAAGGUAUCAAACCCUUAACAAGUCUGCCUUUGUUCUUCCACUCCACCCACCACAAGCAGGCAUCGCUGCAGCUCUGAGGGCAGCUCUGAGAGUUCCAUGCCCAUCGGCCUUCAAUCACAUGGGAUGUCUGAGUUUGACAGUAUAAAGUCUUUCUUCUAGAACAAAAUAAGACCCCUAAGCAAUAGUGGAUGAGCUGUUAGUAACUCUGCACUCCAUGGGGAAGUAGAUCAAGCUUGGUAGUACAGUAUACACAAAGUGCUGGUUUGGGAUAAGACAAUGGACCUUUGAAAGCAGGACUGGAUGCCACGACGCUCCCCCGAUUCCUUGCCAUUUGCUUCUCUGCAAAUGCGUCUUUGUUGUUUUUAAAACCGACAAGAGUAAAACAAAGUUCCCCCCUUAAUUUCUACGAUGAAAGUGUUCAACUGUGUAAUGUUACGCAGUUUUCCCAACAAAUUUGGGACCUGCAGGAGAAGAUUGUAGAAGAUAUGAAUUGAAUUUUAAAACGGUGCGAAACAGGAGGGAAGUUAUCCACUUAGUGGAAGAACGAAUGGACUUAUUUAGCAUUAACACACAGAUGACUUGGUUCCUUCUCGCGGUUGAAGCCAUAUUUAAAAUACUUCCAGCUUUAAUGUCAAUGUUCAACACGUUGAGUGUCCGAGAAAACUAAAACUUACCAGAGAUCAGACACAAAGAUUAAGACGACACUUUGACAUAAUGACAUAGGUAACCCCUAUUAGGAUUUUUAAACUUCUUUGUUGUAUACAGUUAAAAGUUGCAAAUAAUUGAUACCACUUGCAAAUUGUGAGUCUGAGGAUAAAUUUAAUGUUUUACAUCAUUUCAUUUCGUCCCAAGCUCUUCUAAAGCUCCAUAAUUACCCUGAUUAAUGGGGAAAAAAUGUUUUUAUCAACUCAAAAGGUGGAAAAAAAAAGUAUUUCUGCAUAAAAAAAAAGAGCUGCAUCUCCAGAUUGUGGAAGUGUACAACAAGUAAUCAAAGUAAAUCAUAAGAAAAACGGACCUCAACAACAGUCUGCUGAGAAUCUUGGUCUUGGGAGUGAGCUAUAGAUUACAGUGAUUCCAAAGAGAGCUUCCAGCUUCAAAGAAUUUCUCGCAAUGAAUGGUCAGUGACGUCACUGACCAUGUAGUUCAAUACUCAAAUAGCUUCAAUAAAGAGAAAAUUAAUAUCCAUAAGCUAAACUGUCAAUUGGCAGGCCCCAAAAAUAAAUUAAGGGGUGGGGGGGGGGGGGAAUUGAACAAAACCCCCUGAAACCAGAAUUUAAGUUUGGAACGUUGGACUUCCUGAGUAGUCCCCAAGUUCCAUCGACCCAUUUCAUAUUUCUGUUCAUUAGCUGGCAAUAACCAGAAGAGUGUAAUCAGUGCUAAAUAUUCACAUGUAAAGCGUUGCUUUUAAAAGAUAUUGGAAUAAAUUAACUCUUCAUAUAUUCAAUCCUAAGCGUGGUAAAGGUGAAGUUAGAUGGUGCUGCAUUUUAGUCAUCAGAAAACAUUUGUACUUUUUCACUCUGAUAGCAUCCAACCAGCCGUCUGCUGACACAAACAGUAACCUUCUGUGUAGUUCAUCUUUUUAAACAUGUUGGUAUAGUCCUUUAAUGUAUGACAUGGAGACAAAUAUGUUAACAUAGUAUACUGCUGCACCAAAACAGUUAGCAUCUUCCAGGUUACAAGUGGGUGUGACUUUAUUCCCAGACCAGGAUUUUGUGGGGAAUCAACAUGAGCAAGCUUUAAUAAAACACGCUAUAUAUUCAUUUAAUUUUUAAAAUAAUUACAUUUGCUGUAAAGUAAGAGACAUAUCGCUGAGGCAAAAAGUGUGUACUCGUCUUCGCAGGAAGUUUUUGUUUCAUUUUUCUUAUACAUCCCCCGCUGUCUGUGUUUAUUCAGUUCAAAAAUAUCACAGUUCAGUGGUUUUAAUCUCUUUUCCCCCCGUGAACAUGCUGUUAGUCACAGGGAUGCAACACACAAACAGGCUUUAAUGCUCCAGCUGGCCAUCGCACACUGAUUUGAAAGCCACUCUAUCACAGAAAAGCAGUUAUAAAGUGAAGGACAGCUAACAACGAGCAUACAUAGCCUCCCGUUUCCAUCAUAAGCCACAUGUGGGUUCAAACCCGCUGAACGUAAAGGACCACAGAAAACAAGGGGUGAGGUGUGGGGCUGUGUAACAUUCAAAAUUCAAUCAAGUGAAGGCCAUCUCCAGCGGGGUAACAGCAUGUGGAGGCAGGAGGGGGGGAUAAGGGCGAACUCAGCUGAAGUUUCCACUGGGCCCGCUGAGCUCCUAAUGCAGCCUUGGAUGUAAUUGGGUCCCAGAAGGCUGUUCAUUAUUGCUGGUGAGCGAGGCAACAAAAAAAAAAAAAAAAAAAAAGUGGGUGGGUAGAGGGAAAAAGAAAAUGUCUCAUUCUUUGCUCAGUGCCUUUGUCCUGGCAACAUUAUGGGACACGAGUUAAUUAAAAGAGCCCUUGAUGCCUCUGUUUUUUUGUUUCUUUUUCUCAUCAAUCUCGCUUCUGCUCUUUAUUAAGUUUGUAACGGCAGUGGAAGCUCGUCGCUGUCAGCCGGCAGACUUUAAAACCAGCGGGAAGGUGCCGUUAACAUCAGGGACAACUCAUUUCAACAAAUCUCUCAGUGGUCAGCACCUAACAUCAGCAUAAUCUCUUCAUCAAGUGUCGGGGGCCGAGAAUAUACAGUCUGCAGGGGAUAGACGCUUCUCACGUAGCGGCAGCUUUAAUCACCCGGGUGUGGCAGAGGAGCCCGUUUAAGAGGCGUGGUUCUGCGCCUAAUCCUGCGGCUCCCAUCUAACGCCGCCUUGGAGGCCAUUUUAAUUCUCUCUGUCAUUACAGGGCCCUUCUCCGGAAAGCUGUGGUAAAGGUGACUGCUGACACUGUCAUUCACAAGGACUAUUUCAAAAUGUCAGCCUGUAGCUGAGAUUUGUCUCAUUAAAGUUGGUGGAGUCCAUUAUAUCCGUCCCCUCCUCCACCUGCCACACUCAAUCAAGACAAACUCAAGAGAACCGGAGGGGUCGAGGGCGCACUCAUAAUGCGCUUAUUUGCAUGAGGGUUACGGCAGACAGAUGAUCACUGACCAACAAGAAAGGAGCGAAGCGGUGGGAUUCAGCCGAGAGAAAAACAUAGUUAGUUACCGAGCUCUUAUUUGUCUUCCCUUCUGGACCCAUGCCAGUUGGAAAGGCAGGUUUUAGCAGAUGCUUCGAAGUGCAACUGUGAUAAAGACGGCCGAGCACCAUCCAAGCUUUUGUUCCAACAGUCCUGUGACCUGGAGAUUUACAUACAGCUUCGGCAAAACCCAGAAACGAGAUACAUCUUCACAGUGGAGGAGCCGAGAAGCACAGGGAUCACAUUGGUAGACGUGUUGCGUGAUCUGAGAGAGGGGAGGACAGAUGUGGGUUUCUUUUUUUUUCCCCUUUCCUCUAAUUUUCCUUCACCCCUGCUAAAGGCUGUGGAAACAAACGCAGUGGGAAUUUUAUUGCAACCAUUAAUAUUGUGGAGCUGUAUUUUUGUGUUCCCUUCGCUUUGCAAAAACAAGACCUCACUGAGAUGAAGGUUGUUGAGAGAACAAGUUCCAGAGUGCAAUAAAGUUUUGAAAGUUAGUUCACUGAAAGUUUUUCUUUUUUUUUUGCUAUUGUUACAAGGAAUUACUUUAAUAAUCAUUAGGCUCCAGCUUUUUAAGCUUUUUUUAUGUUAUGUUCACUCAAAGAAAAAAACAUUUUAGGAGACAUUGUCAAGAAUUAGAUGAGAGAGAAGUACCUAGAGGGCUAUAUAAACUCAUUUACUGUUUUUCUAAAACAUAAUUUGUUGUGGCAAAAACCAAUUAAUUUUAAUCCACAUAACUUCCCAAUUGAUCAUUAUCCACAAUUGUUUGUUGAAGUCUUAUUUUCUCUCCUGCCUAAUUAAAGGCUGUGGCAGAAGAAAAUAAUUCAGUUGUUGGCAUGCUGGCAUGUGCACAGCUGAGAACUUGUAAAUUAAUCACCCACCGUUGUUUGCUCUUGCUUGUGCAUCUGUAAAUAUAAAUCACUGAACCUGCAAGUAGGCAAUUUAUGGGCUAAAUUUGCAUCGCUUUCACUUAUUAAGUUAUCAUUUGUGCCACCGCAAAAGAAAGCCUAAACGUGUGCACGUUAAUCAAAUAUCACUAAAAGAAAA